AUACGGAGGGUGCAAGCGUUACUCGGAAUCACUGGGCGUAAAGCGCGCGCAGGCGGCUAUUUAAGUUGGAUGUGAAAGCCUACGGCUCAACCGUAGAACUGCAUCCAAAACUAUUUAGCUAGAGGGUGGGAGAGGAAGAUGGAAUUAGUUGUGUAGGGGUAAAAUCCGUAGAGAUAACUAGGAAUACCAAAAGCGAAGGCAAUCUUCUGGAACACUACUGACGCUGAGGCGCGAAAGCGUGGGUAGCAAACGGGAUUAGAUACCCCAGUAGUCC
rnacentral:rRNA from 1 species